rnacentral:rRNA from 1 species
AGGGUUUGAUUAUGGCUCAGGACGAACGCUGGCGGCGCGCCUAACACAUGCAAGUCGAACGAGCGAUGGAGAGCUUGCUUUCCAGAGCGAGUGGCGAACGGGUGAGUAACGCGUGAGGAACCUGCCUCAAAGAGGGGGACAACAGUUGGAAACGACUGCUAAUACCGCAUAAGCCCACGGCUCGGCAUCGAGCAGAGGGAAAAGGAGUGAUCCGCUUUGAGAUGGCCUCGCGUCCGAUUAGCUAGUUGGUGAGGUAACGGCCCACCAAGGCGACGAUCGGUAGCCGGACUGAGAGGUUGAACGGCCACAUUGGGACUGAGACACGGCCCAG